GGGGAUGUAGCUCAGCGGUAGAGCGCAUAUUUCGCAUUUAUGUGGUCCCGGGUUCGAAUCCCGGCAUCUCCA